GCCGUGAUCGUCUAGUGGUUAGGACAUUGCCAUUGCGUUGUGGCCGCAAUAACCCAGGUUCGAGUCCUGGUCACGGCA